AUGGAGUGCAACCUUCAUGCGGCGAGCCUCUGGGCUCCCAUGGAGGACGACCUGAUCGAGAGAAAGGAGGACAGGAAAGUCGUGGCAGCCCUCAUGCGCGCCACACCACCGGAGAUGCACGGCAUGCUCGCGGCGAAGGCAAGCGCCAAGGAGGCGUGGGAAGCCAUCCGUACCCAGCGCCUCGGCAGCAACCGCGUGCGCGAGGCGAACGCGCAGAAGCUGCGGGCAGACUUCGAGAACAUCGCCUUCAAGGAGGGCGAGCUCGUCGACGAAUUCGCCAUGCGGAUCUCCAGCCUUGCGUCACAGCUCCGCGCGCUCGGCGACACCAUGGACGACGCGAGAGUCGUGCGGAAAUUUCUCCGCGUCGUGCCAUCUCGCUUCGCUCAGGUAGCGGUCUCCAUCGAGACCUUGCUUGAUCUGAGUGAGCUCUCCGUCGAGGAGCUCACGGGCCGGUUGCGGGUGGUCGAGGACCGUCUUGACGACGGCCGCGAGAGCUUCGGCGGCGGACAACUCCUAUUCUCAAAGAAGUGGGAGGCGAGGAAGCGUCAAGGACGUGGUGGCGGUGCCCAGAGCAGCAGAGGCGGCGGUCGCACCCAGGGUGGAGCCGGGCGAGGUGCCGGCAACGACGACCGAGACAAGUGCCGAUAUUGCAGCAUCAAGGGCCACUGGGCCCGUGAGUGCCGCAAGAGGAUGGCUGACGAGGAUGCCGCGGCCGCGGCGAACCUCGUCGAGGCUGAAGAAGACGGUGGGCCAGCAAUGAUGAUGGCUUGUGUCGAGACCAUGCAGGAGGGCGGAGCACCUCCGGCGACCAUGGUCCUGACAAGCAUCGAAGCCGUGCAGGAGGGCGCAGCACCUCCGGCGACCACGGUGCCGGCAACCGUUAAGUCCGUGCGGGAGGCACGGAGCUCUUCAAGUAAUCCCCUCUCGACAUCGGUAGCGCUCUCCUCGGCAACAACGUUCUCGGGAGGCUACAAUUGGGAGGAGAUGAAGACCCGGGUGUGGGGGAGCCACACCCCGGAAACCACGUCCCCUGCGACGCUGGUCAAGCCCGUGCAAGUUGGCACGGCAAAGGCAUACCCGACAUCCUCGGGACCCAAUAAGCCCGUGUCAGGAGGCACGGCAACGACGUAUAUGGUGGGCCACGUCCCAACCAUGAUGCUGGUGACCAGUGAGACCGUGCAAGAGGCACGACACUCUCAGGUCGACCACACCCCGACAACCAGGUUCUCGGGGUUCUGCAAGCCCGUGUGGGCAACACGGCACUCUUCGACGGGCCUCAACAGCUGGGAGGCCAUGAAGAGAUGGUCAUGGGGCGGCAAGGCCUCGACCGUGACUCUGGCGACCAUCGAGGCUGUGCAGGAGGCGCAGUGCUCUAUGGUCAGCCACGCAGCAACCCUGACGCGCUCGGGGUCCAUCGAGUCCGUGCGGAAGGCACGACUCACAACUGUCGGAGGAGACCCGACAAGCAAGUCUGAUGGGAAGAACACCAAGGACUUCGCUACCCUGAGAGGAGCCACUCCGGGCAGUGCGGCGUCCGGCACAACGACCCCAGGAAGGGAGUUCCUGGGUAGUGCGAUGUCCGACAAGUCAUCCCCGGGAAGGGAGUUCCCGGGCAGUGCGGCGUCCGGCACGACGACCCUGGGAAGGGAGUUCCCGGGCAGUGUGACAUCAGGAACUACGACCCCAGGAACACUGACGCCCACGAGCGAGUUGGUUCCCGGGCAGUUCAUGUCCCCAUCAACAGCGCGGUCGGACUUGUUCGAUGCCAACAAAAAUGGUGGCGAUCCACACAGGUUCCGAAGCCUAGGGGGACCUUCUCGAGCCCGCGAGACGAUCGCAGCACCCGAGAUCAAGAAGCACGAACAGGGCAUACGGGCCGCCGAGAAGGCGGACAUCCCAACGAAGGCACUUGGUUGCGUCGAGUUCCAAGAGCCGCACGACAGGACCGGGAUCAUCAAGACCCUCCUACAGGUUUGA
rnacentral:rRNA from 1 species